GUCCAUUUUUUAAUUGGCUUGUCUGUUUUUUGGGUGUUGAGUUGUAUAAGUUCUUUAUAUAUUUUGGAUACUAGCCAAAAAGAUGCCAUAUAUAUAUAUAUUUUUUUUUAACAGAGGCCAAGUCAGUGAACCAAUCCCAGUUCUUCACGGUAGAGGGUUCUGUCCUUCCGCAUUUUCCAUCUGUGGACAGAUUUGCUCAGAAGACUGUGGAAGCUAUAUUAAUUCCUCAGAAUAAUGGCUUUCUGCACCAUCUAUGAGGUUUACGGAUGGACCAGCCCGAGCCUUGACUCUGGACAAGCCACCCAUCUCCGGGGCUGGAGUGUCAGCCUCUGUUGACCACGGAUUCUAACCUGUCUCCAAGGUUCUUCUGAAGCUCCCAAAGAGGGAAGGCACCCGGUUCUCUCAAGGGCAAACCAGUACAGAAGCAGAAAGAAGAGAUGUGGAGAAUGAAUGAGAACACAAGUUGGACUGCAAUGAACAGUAAAACUGAAGUGGAAAGGUAAUUUACGUGAACCACAUUUAUUUUAUUUUUUUAAUAUAAUUUAUUGUCAAAUUGGCUUAUAUACAACACCCAGUGCUCAUGCCAACAAAUGCCCUCCUCAA